UGCAGUCGUACGCUUCUUUUUCCACCGGAGCUUGCUCCACCGGAAAAAGAAGAGUGGCGAACGGGUGAGUAACACGUGGGUAACCUGCCCAUCAGAAGGGGAUAACACUUGGAAACAGGUGCUAAUACCGUAUAACAAUCGAAACCGCAUGGUUUUGAUUUGAAAGGCGCUUUCGGGUGUCGCUGAUGGAUGGACCCGCGGUGCAUUAGCUAGUUGGUGAGGUAACGGCUCACCAAGGCCACGAUGCAUAGCCGACCUGAGAGGGUGAUCGGCCACAUUGGGACUGAGACACGGCCCAAACUCCUACGGGAGGCAGCAGUAGGGAAUCUUCGGCAAUGGACGAAAGUCUGACCGAGCAACGCCGCGUGAGUGAAGAAGGUUUUCGGAUCGUAAAACUCUGUUGUUAGAGAAGAACAAGGAUGAGAGUAACUGUUCAUCCCUUGACGGUAUCUAACCAGAAAGCCACGGCUAACUACGUGCCAGCAGCCGCGGUAAUACGUAGGUGGCAAGCGUUGUCCGGAUUUAUUGGGCGUAAAGCGAGCGCAGGCGGUUUCUUAAGUCUGAUGUGAAAGCCCCCGGCUCA
rnacentral:rRNA from 1 species